CCCUACGGGAGGCAGCAGUAGGGAAUCUUCCGCAAUGGACGAAAGUCUGACGGAGCAACGCCGCGUGAGUGAAGAAGGUCUUCGGAUCGUAAAGCUCUGUUGUUAGGGAAGAACAAGUAUCGGAGGAAAUGCCGGUACCUUGACGGUACCUGACGAGAAGC
rnacentral:rRNA from 1 species